UACAGAGGUGGCAAGCGUUGUUCGGAAUUACUGGGCGUAAAGGGCGCGUAGGCGGUCUUUUAAGUUCCGUGUGAAAUCCCUCGGCUCAACUGGGGAACUGCACGGGAAACUGGAAGGCUUGAGUUCGGGAGAGGGAAGCGGAAUUCCGGGUGUAGCGGUGAAAUGCGUAGAUAUCCGGAGGAACACCGGUGGCGAAGGCGGCUUCCUGGACCGACACUGACGCUGAGGCGCGAAAGCUAGGGGAGCAAACGGG
rnacentral:rRNA from 1 species